AGCGGCGGACGGGUGAGUAAUGCCUGGGAAAUUGCCCUGAUGUGGGGGAUAACCAUUGGAAACGAUGGCUAAUACCGCAUAAUAGCUUCGGCUCAAAGAGGGGGACCUUCGGGCCUCUCGCGUCAGGAUAUGCCCAGGUGGGAUUAGCUAGUUGGUGAGGUAAUGGCUCACCAAGGCGACGAUCCCUAGCUGGUCUGAGAGGAUGAUCAGCCACACUGGAACUGAGACACGGUCCAGACUCCUACGGGAGGCAGCAGUGGGGAAUAUUGCACAAUGGGCGCAAGCCUGAUGCAGCCAUGCCGCGUGUAUGAAGAAGGCCUUCGGGUUGUAAAGUACUUUCAGCAGUGAGGAAGGUGGGUAUGUUAAUAGCAUACUCAUUUGACGUUAGCUGCAGAAGAAGCACCGGCUAACUCCGUGCCAGCAGCCGCGGUAAUACGGAGGGUGCGAGCGUUAAUCGGAAUUACUGGGCGUAAAGCGCAUGCAGGUGGUUUGUUAAGUCAGAUGUGAAAGCCCGGGGCUCAACCUCGGAAUUGCAUUUGAAACUGGCAAA
rnacentral:rRNA from 1 species